UACAGAGGGGGCAAGCGUUGUUCGGAAUUACUGGGCGUAAAGGGCGCGUAGGCGGCCUUCUAAGUCGAACGUGAAAGCCCCGGGCUCAGCCCGGGAAGUGCGCUCGAAACUGCGCGGCUCGAGUGCCGGAGGGGAGAGUGGAAUUCCUGAUGUAGCGGUGAAAUGCGUAGAUAUCAGGAGGAACACCGGUGGCGAAGGCGGAUCUCUGGGCCUGUCCUGACGCUCAGGCGCGAAAGCUAGGGGAGCAAACAGG
rnacentral:rRNA from 1 species